UACAGAGGAUGCAAGCGUUAUCCGGAAUGAUUGGGCGUAAAGCGUCUGUAGGUGGCUUUUUAAGUCCGCCGUCAAAUCCCAGGGCUCAACUCUGGACAGGCGGUGGAAACUACCAAGCUGGAGUACGGUAGGGGCAGAGGGAAUUUCCGGUGGAGCGGUGAAAUGCGUAGAUAUCAGGAGGAACACCUGCGGUGUAGACGGCUUACUGGACGGUAACUGACGCUGAGGCACGAAAGCGUGGGUAGCAAACAGG
rnacentral:rRNA from 1 species